rnacentral:rRNA from 1 species
UACGUAGGCAGCGAGCGUUGUUCGGAAUUACUGGGCGUAAAGAGUGUGUAGGCGGUGCUCUAAGUUCGGUGUGAAAUCUCCUGGCUCAACUGGGAGGGUGCGCCGGAAACUGGAGUGCUUGAGCGCGGGAGAGGAAAGCGGAAUUCCUGGUGUAGCGGUGAAAUGCGCAGAUAUCAGGAGGAACACCAGUGGCGAAGGCGGUGCUCUGGGCCGGUACUGACGCUGAGGAGCGAAAGCGUGGGUAGCAAACAGG